rnacentral:rRNA from 1 species
CGGAUUGGAGUCUGNAACCCGACUCCAUGAAGCUGGAUUCGCUAGUAAUCGCGCAUCAGCCACGGCGCGGUGAAUACGUUCCCGGGCCUUGUACACACCGCCCGUCAAGCCAUGGAAGCCGGGGGGUGCCUGAAGUGCGCUGCCGCAAGGAGCGCCCUAGGGUAAAACCGGUGACUGGGGCUAAGUCGUAACAAGGUACC